UACGUAGGGGGCUAGCGUUGUCCGGAAUCAUUGGGCGUAAAGAGCGUGUAGGCGGCCCGGUAAGUCCGCUGUAAAAGUCAAAGGCUCAACCUUUGAAUGUCAGUGGAUACUGCCGGGCUAGAGUCCGGAAGAGGCGAGUGGAACUCCUGGUGUAGCGGUGGAAUGCGCAGAUAUCAGGAAGAACACCAACGGCGAAGGCAGCUCGCUGGACGGUACUGACGCUGAGACGCGAAAGCGUGGGGAGCGAACGGG
rnacentral:rRNA from 1 species